CAAGACAGCUACUUCACAAUUAGUCCACCCUGCCGUCACUGGUGAUUUAAAUAAUCUACAAAAGAACUAUGAACAGGUUCUUGGUCUUUGUGGCUGCUAUAAUUCUGAUUAAGGACGCAAAUGGGAAGCCUUUCAUCCCUUGGAAAAACAAUCAAGUCUCACCCAUCAAAGAUGUGCAGCUUUAUUUAGAGCAACAAGUCAUGAAAUUACAUGAAUUUAAUGCAAAAACCCCUUUAGAGUCAAUUGAAAUUGAACCACCA